rnacentral:rRNA from 1 species
GCGGCGUGGAUUAGGCAUGCAAGUCGAACGAAUCCCAGGGGCUGUAGCAAUACAAUCUCUGGGGAAAGUGGCGAAAGGGGCAGUAAGGCAUGGGUAACCUACCCUGGGGACCGGGAUAGCCCUUCUAACGAAGGGGUAAUACCGGGCGAUGUGGCCGAUACGCAUGUUUUGGCCAUGAGAUGAAUUUCGCCUCGGGAGGGGCUCAUGUAGUAUUAGCUAGUUGGUAGGGUGACGGCCUACCAAGGCAAAGAUGCUUAGCGGGUGUGAGAGCACGACCCGCGCCACUGGCACUGAGACACUGGCCAGACUCCUACGGGUGGCUGCAGUCGAGGAUCUUCGGCAAUGGGCGCAAGCCUGACCGAGCGACGCCGCGUGAGCGAUGAAGGCCUUCGGGUUGUAAAGCUCUGUCGGGGGGGAGAAAACCGCAAGGUUGAUCUAUCUCCGGAGGAAGCACGGGCUAAGUUCGUGCCAGCAGCCGCGGUAAGACGAACCGUGCGAACGUUGUUCGGAAUCACUGGGCUUAAAGGGCGCGUAGGCGGGCAGUCAAGUCCGGGGUGAAAUCUUUCGGCUCAACCGGAAAAGUGCCUUGGAUACUGACUGUCUCGAGGGAGGUAGGGUAUGUGGAACUUCCGGUGGAGCGGUGAAAUGCGUUGAUAUCGGAAGGAACGCCGGUGGCGAAAGCGACGUACUGGACCUCUUCUGACGCUGAGGCGCGAAAGCCAGGGGAGCGAACGGGAUUAGAUACCCCGGUAGUCCUGGCCCUAAACGAUGGGUACUAGAUUGUAGACUUGAUAUGGGUUUACAGUCGAAGCAAAAGUGGUAAGUACCCCGCCUGGGGAGUAUGGUCGCAAGGCUGAAACUCAAAGGAAUUGACGGGGGCUCACACAAGCGGUGGAGCAUGUGGCUCAAUUCGAGGCUACGCGAAGAACCUUAUCCUGGGCUUGACAUGUGCGAAAGCGCUGAGAAGUAGCGGGUUGAAAGACUUUGCCAACGGUAUCCAGUCCGGAACUCAGUACAGGUGCUGCAUGGCUGUCGUCAGCUCGUGUCGUGAGAUGUCGGGUUAAGUCCCAUAACGAGCGAAACCCUUGUCCUUAGUUGCUACCCGCAAGGGAGGACUCUAGGGAGACUGCCGGUGUUAAACCGGAGGAAGGUGGGGAUGACGUCAAGUCCUCAUGGCCUUUAUGCCCAGGGCUGCACACGUGCUACAAUGGCGUGAACAAAGGGACGCAAACCCGCGAGGGGGAGCAAAUCCCAAAAAAACACGCCCCAGUUCAGAUCGAAGGCUGCAACUCGCCUUCGUGAAGUUGGAAUCGCUAGUAAUCGCGGGUCAGCAACACCGCGGUGAAUGUGUUCCUGAGCCUUGUACACACCGCCCGUCAAGCCACGAAAGGGAGGGAUAUCCGAAGUCGCCGUGCCAACCGCAAGGGGGCAAGCGCCGACGAUAGACUUCCUGAUUGGGACUAAGUCGUAACAAGGUA